rnacentral:rRNA from 1 species
UACGGAGGAUGCGAGCGUUAUCCGGAUUUAUUGGGUUUAAAGGGUGCGUAGGCAGCUUUUUAAGUCAGCGGUGAAAUUUUGCAGCUCAACUGUAAAAGUGCCUUCGAUACUGGUUUCCUUGAGUGUGGAUGAAGUAGGCGGAAUUUGUGGUGUAGCGGUGAAAUGCUUAGAUAUCACGAGGAACUCCGAUUGCGCAGGCAGCUUACUAAACCACUACUGACGCUCAGGCACGAAGGCGUGGGGAUCAAACAGGAUUAGAUACCCCCGUAGU